UCCCGGUCUCCACAGCCGGGAUUACUGAAGAGGCACACCUUCUUUGCCUGAAGUGCGGCGGGUCCAAGCCCUCCAAUCCAUGGCAGACCGAUAAGCCGAACGCCGCUGGCCUUUUGUCGCCGGCUUUCGGACCAAUCGCGUCGCGCGAGCCCUGUCUC
rfam:Fulvimarina manganoxydans strain CGMCC 1.10972 genome assembly, contig: Ga0171588_105